GAAUAGCUCAGUUGGUUAGAGCAUCUGACUGUUAAUCAGAGGGUCGCAGGUUCAAGUCCUGCUU
rnacentral:tRNA from 1 species